UACGUAGGGAGCAAGCGUUGUCCGGAAUCAUUGGGCGUAAAGCGCGCGUAGGCGGCCCUGUAAGUCCGUUGUGAAAGUCAAAGGCUCAACCUUUGAAAGCCGAUGGAUACUGCAGGGCUAGAGUCCGGAAGAGGCGAGUGGAAUUCCUGGUGUAGCGGUGGAAUGCGCAGAUAUCAGGAGGAACACCAAUAGCGAAGGCAGCUCGCUGGGACGGUACUGACGCUAAGCGCGAAGCGUGGGAGCGAACGAGG
rnacentral:rRNA from 1 species